rnacentral:tmRNA from 1 species
GGGGGUGACUUGGCUUCGAUUAGAGCUUUGAGGAUCAGUUGCAUGUAGGUCUGAACCGCCUUGAUAAGUUCAAAUUUUUUAGACGCAAACAAUACAAAUUACGCUCCUGCUUACGCUAAAGCUGCGUAAGUUAACAAUCCGACUCGCCUAACGGCUUGAGUCUAAGGAGGUUCACUCAGUAGAUUCUAUCUAUGCUGAUUAUAGUGGACUCACCCAGAUAGAUUAUCUUUGAGGGAUUGAUUGAAUCUCAUUGAGAAAUUUUAAAUCUUAGUUUAGUGGUUGCUUUUGGAAGUUGUGUUGCCAUUAAAUGAAAUUUUACAACUUUGCUAAACAUGUAGACGCUGGUAGUAGAGGUUUUAAGACUGGGAUUCGACUUCCCACACCUCCACCA